GAUUCUGCUUGUCAUCGUGCUCUAGAAAUCACGUUGCAGCCGAGUUGUUUUGAAUCUUUGGUUUAUUCCUCUGAUUGUUACAAAAUUAUUCAGUUAUAGUAUUUAUAUAGGUGGUGGUAUAUAUUUGUGUUUACGUGAAGGCGUCUGCUCGCUCCAAGAGAUUCCUCUCCAAGAAAAAGGUUAAUGGAUGGCGUGACUUUUGCGAGUCUCUUGCUCCCCGGUCUCCUGCUUCUUUGGUGUGGAAACGUAUUAAAUCAUUCAGAAGGUGCGAUGAAGUCGUCCCCUACAAAUGCGCUCCAAGUGGAAUGUGUGGAACCUCCACUCCAAUUACGUAGACAGUAUCUCUCGGAUAGGUAAUACUUAAUCUAGGGAUAGUCAAGAACUCGCAGGGUGCUGAUAAGGAGCUUAAUAGCUUAGUGGAAAAAAACUGGAAGGAUUGGCUUCAACUCUAUACCGAUGCCUCUAAAUUAUCUGAUACAAGUCACGUAGGAGCUGCUGUUUGGAUCCCUAAAUUUAAUAUCAUCCUAAAUUAUAAAUGCCCGGCUAGCUGCUCCAUUUUCACAGGUGAGUCCAUUGCCCUUCUAGAAGCUGUCUCCUAUGUAGAAUCUCACAAAUUGAAUAGAUCAAUCAUUUUCUCGGAUUCCCUUAGCUGUUUGCAAGACCUUGUAAAAUUGCCUUUUCACUCUAGAGAAAAUUUUUAUCUCACCCUUAAAACUAAGGAAGUUCUUUAUAGAUGCCAAAAGAGUGGUCUAGAAAUUGUCCUGGCUUGGAUUCCCAGUCACAGCGGUAUUCGUGGCAACGAGAACGCCGACCUAUGUGCUAAAGAAGCUGCCCGCUUGGGUACUGAGAUCUACAACAAGACUUUCUCCAGAGAUAUCCGGGCUCUCGCUAAAUCACAUCUAUUCAAAUCUUGGGAUGAGCUUUGGCAAACAUCUAAGCAAGCAAAAGGGAACUUCUGGACUACAUCAUUGGACUUCCCACCGAACAGUCUUCAAUAUAAUUUAAAUGUACCUACCGACUAUUUUUUUUUAAUUGUUUUUUAAUUUUUUUUUAUUUUUUUUCUUCGGUACCUUGACGUUGGCAGAAUCAUCGUUUCUAAACGAUGCAGCCAUAAACUUUAAAAAGUGAAGUGAAGUG